GAAUUGAAAGGUCCUUCGAGCUUAUCCCAAGCAAGAAAAGCGCCUGGCUUUCCUUCUACGCCUCUUGGUCAUAAUUCCCUUGCAGGUCUCUUCCUCGAGGCUUCCCUGCCUUGCAUCAUGUUCUCGAAUUCGGCUAGGUCGCCUAGGGAGCCACACGCUGAUGGCCGGUUCAAGACUGUGAACCGAUUGACUCUAUUAAAAUUCUGGUUUGAACUUCGAUAGGUCGAGGAUCUUCUUUCUGAGAGAUCUACUUCAAGAUCUCUAAAAUGAUCGCUUCGAUUUACGGGAUCCGCUUCCGUUUCGAUUCUAGGGCGUGGCGUUCGUCCAGAGCCAAUUUUUCAGGUUCGGUGUCUGAGAGUUACGAUUUCACGGGAAGGCUUGCUGGUCCCCGCGAAGGCGCUGGAUCUGUGGGGGCGGGAUUGCGGAGAUGAUGUUAUGAAGAUCAAUUGUGGCAGAUCGUUCCAUGUAACUUGUUGAUGUAAAUGGAUGUAUAGGAUAAUAUCAGGACGAAAGGGCCGGAGUUUGAAUCUGGCUGAUGAGUCCUGAUUCAUCUUUGUCAUCCGACCUUUGCCAUGACAGGUGCGCUUGCUUGGCAGGUCACAAAGAACCAUAAUAAAAAAGUUAUACGUUUUUUGGUUGAGGGGGAGAUCGCACGGGAAUUUUGCCCGGGGUCUCCCCACCGGUGUGUGCCGUUUCCCUGUGCUGCUUUUUCUGCGAUCGUUUAUAUUUUCGCUCUCGACGCCCAUGGUUGCUUACCAGGUGAAAGGGGUAGCUGAUAUACAUCAGCCAACAUUACGGCUCAUGCACUCGCAAUUGACAUGGAGUUUGAGCCGAAGCUCAAAAGGGACCAAGGAGCUUGCAACGUCGGUAUGGUAGUUGGUGAAGAUCUUCGAAGUUGUGAUCGGUCUAAGGGCUUAAGACAUCAUCGUUGAUCUCUUCCUCGAGGCUUCCCUGCCUUGCAUUAUGUUCUCGAAUUCGGCUAGGUAGUCUAGGGAGCUACACGCUGAUGGCCGCUUCAAGACUUCGAACCGAUCGACUUCUAUUAAAAUUCUGGUUUGAACUUCGAUAGGUCGAGGAUCUUCGUUCUGAGAGAUCUACUUCAAGAUCUCUAAAAUGAUCGCUUCGAUUUACGGGAUCUGCUUCCGUUUCGAUUCUAGGGCGUGGCGUUCGUCCGGAGCCAAUUUUUCAGGUUCGGUGUCUGAGAGUUCUGAUUUCACGGGAAGGCUUGCUGGUCCCCGCGAAGGCGCUGGAUCUGUGGGAGCGCGAUUGCGGAGAUGAUAUUAUGAAAAGAUCAAUUGUGGCAGAUCGUUCCAUGUAACUUGUUGAUGUAAAUGGAUGUAUAGGAUAAUAUCAGGACGAAAGGACCAGAGUUUGAAUCUGGCUGAUGAGUCCUGAUUCAUUUUUGUCAUCCGGCCUUUGCCAUGACAGGUGCGCUUGCAUGGCAGGUCACAAAGAACCAUAAUAAAAAAGUGAUACGUUUUUUGGUUUGAGGGGGAGAUCGCACGGGAUUUUGCCCGGGGUCUCCCCACCGGUGUGUGCCGUUUCCCUGUGCUGCUUUUUCUGCGAUCGUUUAUAUUUUCGCUCUCGACGCCCAUGGUUGCUUACCAGAUGAAAGGGGUAGCUGAGAUACAUCAGCAGAAUUACGGCUCAUGAACUCGCAAUUCACAUGGAAUUUGAGUAGUUGGUGAACAUCUUGGAAGUUGAGUUAAAUGGUCUGAAGCUGCUUGACAUAAGGGCUUUAACUGGACGUCAGCGUCGGAGGCAAGAUGCUCUUCCAAGAUCAAGGAAACUUACCCACACCUUGUGGGCAAGAUGCUCUAAUGAGAGAGGAUUUGUAAUAGUCCGACAUGUUAAAGGAUAUGUAACAGAGUCUUGGGCUUGUGGGCCUUAUUGUUGUUUUGCUAUGUUAUUUUUCUUAGCCUGCUUGUAAUUUGUUGGACCUAAAUGUAGUUAACGGGCUGAGCCCAUAGAGUAGGUGUGACGGCCCCAAUCUCCGCUUGGGAGAUGGAACGGAGACUUAGAGCGUCGGGACAUGCAACACAAAGUUACAUACCCUCGUACAUGACAGUUAAUAUGUAAUGCAUCUUAGUAUGCAACUAAUAGUAUGCACUAUUCGCAGC